UGCAGGUCUAGGUUUUCGACUCCAAACUACAGAGACAAUAUCGUCGUUGCUUUUUCCUUGCUUUUUCCCAGACAGAAAAAGCACCGCGCAAAAAGCAACGACGAGCAGCAGCGGUAUGGAAUAUUUCCCAAACCGAUCACCGGACUACACUUGCGAUCUCCGUCGGUGAGAUCCGGUUAGUUUGAAGCGGAUCAGGGAUUAGAGCAACCCAGAAAAAUCAAUGGGGAUUAAAAUUGGCUGGAUUUGAGGGCGAGCGGAACUGGGGGUCCUGAAAACUCCGAUUGUGGAGGAUGUGCCACGGAGGAAUGACAGAAGACCCCGUUUCCCUGCCUGGAAUCGCCGUGAUGACACACACAUGAGCCAUGCCAGGCCCACCACAUGAAUCAUGUGGACCACGCAGCUCCAUUGCCGUCUAUGGAACAAGCCGCGAAGUGGCCACCAUGUAAAUGCAUGCAGUGGGGGCAACUGUACUGUACGUGCCAUUGCGUCGGUCGAUAUCAUAAGUCUGGCGCCAAUCACAAGUCCAUGCACAAGUAGCAGCUACUGGUACUCGCAAAAAGUGCCGUACCGAGCGCACAUGUGGCUGUGUGGAGCGACGGCAAGUAUAGUCGAGUCUUAUACAUGUGUUUGAGGGUCCCACAACCUCCAAUCUUUAGCCCAUUUGAAAGGUUCCUAUCAAUGAAUUUUUAUCGUCGAUUUUGGACGGUUUAAUCAGUUGUCAGGGUUCAUGGAGUCUGGCUUGAUCGGAUCAGGUCUGGUUCGGAUAUUCGUUCAGACUUGUUCAGCUUGAUAAGACUGGUUCAGCUCGAUUAGACUGGUUCAGACUCGGUAGAUCCCCUUCAGUCGUGUCGACGAUUCUCCACUUCAGUUCUUGAGCUCGUGAGCUGAAGACUUGACGGCUUGACGACUCCACUCUGAAGACUUGACGACUAGACGACUGGACGACUCGACACCAGAAGACUUCACAACUUGACGAUCUCGGGGAUAGGACCUUCUCGACUGUGUCACUACUGGAAAAACGACAGAGCCCGUGAACAUCGUGAGCACAGUGAGCACCUGGAUACAGACAGAACUGGACACCAACGAAUAUCGAGGACUCCGCUACAGAGAAGAUUUGCCAUAGUAGCCUUGUUUGCUAGUCUUUCCCUCCCUUUUUUGUCAGAACCCGAAAAUAGCCACUCUUCACGAUUGGAAAGGCUCCAAAAGGCUCCUUCGUAGCUAUUUUUUUGCCUAGUUCCAAUUACUUACGAGUACAUCUGUAAGAUACGACCGGUUUUAACUGAGUGAGGUCCAAUCACGUUUUAUAACCACAUUGCAGUGUCUUGGAGGGGUUUGCAAAGGACUUGAAAUAAAAGAUCGUACAGGGCAGAACGCUCUGAUUUUGCGCUGCAGAGUUGAUCUCUCCAGCCAAAAGUCCAGCGUUGGAGUUGGUUGCACAAUUCACCCGUCGAAAUGAUAGCAUUGCGUCCAACAUUGCCACCGCCAGGUUGGAACAGUAGCCUCAGCCAGCAUCAAAAAUGACUCAAUAGUCGCCACAGAAACAACAAAAUGGAACCAUGAUGCAACUUUUACCAAAAUACUCUUUUUCGUGUCCCUCAGAAUCACUCAGGAACUAUUGCUAUAGUACCAGUUCAAAAGGAGUGGGUUUUCAUUGGCUUGUUCCAGAAGAGCGCCAGAUUCAACAGCCAAUUUACUGCUUCUGUGAUCUUCAACGACCGAUCGUCAGCUUCCGUCACCUUCUCCAGACUUCUAAAGUAGUAUGAAUGUCAUGAUUUCAUACUUAUAAGAUCUUUCCAUAUCUGCUACACCUCUCCUUCUCUUCGACAUCUGAACAAUGAGUUGACAAACCUCUAAUGACGUAAUUCCGGAUCUCAACAUUUUCU
rnacentral:misc_RNA from 1 species